rnacentral:rRNA from 1 species
UUCUGGCUCAGGAUGAACGCUAGCGACAGGCUUAACACAUGCAAGUCGAGGGGCAGCAUAGAAGUAGCAAUACUUGGUGGCGACCGGCGCACGGGUGAGUAACGCGUAUGCAACCUACCGUAUCAGAGGGGAAUAACCCGGCGAAAGUCGGACUAAUACCGCAUAAAACAGGGGCACCGCAUGGUGAUAUUUGUUAAAGAAAUUCGCUGAUAGAUGGGCAUGCGUUCCAUUAGGUAGUUGGUGAGGUAACGGCUCACCAAGCCGACGAUGGAUAGGGGAACUGAGAGGUUGGUCCCCCACACUGGUACUGAGACACGGACCAGACUCCUACGGGAGGCAGCAGUGAGGAAUAUUGGUCAAUGGGCGGGAGCCUGAACCAGCCAAGUCGCGUGAAGGAAAGAAGGAUCUAUGGUUCGUAAACUUCUUUUGCAGGGGAAUAAAGUGCAGGACGUGUCCUGUUUUGUAUGUACUCUGAGAAUAAGGAUCGGCUAACUCCGUGCCAGCAGCAGC